GACGAACGCUGGCGGCGUGCCUAAUACAUGCAAGUAGAACGCUGAAGCGAGGAGCUUCCUCUUCUUGGAUGAGUUGCGAACGGGUGAGUAACGCGUAGGUAACCUGCCUUGUAGCGGGGGAUAACUAUUGGAAACGAUAGCUAAUACCGCAUAACAAUGGAUGACACAUGUCAUUUAUUUGAAAGGGGCAAUUGCUCCACUACAAGAUGGACCUGCGUUGUAUUAGCUAGUAGGUGAGGUAAUGGCUCACCUAGGCGACGAUACAUAGCCGACCUGAGAGGGUGAUCGGCCACACUGGGACUGAGACACGGCCCAGACUCCUACGGGAGGCAGCAGUAGGGAAUCUUCGGCAAUGGGGGCAACCCUGACCGAGCAACGCCGCGUGAGUGAAGAAGGUUUUCGGAUCGUAAAGCUCUGUUGUAAGUCAAGAACGGGGGUGAGAGUGGAAAGUUCACACUGUGACGGUAGCUUACCAGAAAGGGACGGCUAACUACGUG
rnacentral:rRNA from 1 species